GAUGAACGCUGGCGGCGUGCCUAACACAUGCAAGUCGAGCGAGGGUUUGCUCAGUAUUGAGUAUUCUAAAACUAGAAUGUUCAAUUCUGAGCAAAACCAAGCGGCGGACGGGUGAGUAACGCGUGGGUAACCUGCCCUAUACACAUGGAUAACAUACUGAAAAGUUUACUAAUACAUGAUAAUAUAUAUUUGCGGCAUCGCAGAUAUAUCAAAGUGUUAGCGGUAUAGGAUGGACCCGUGUCUGAUUAGCUAGUUGGUGAGAUAACUGCCCACCAAGGCGACGAUCAGUAGCCGACCUGAGAGGGUGAUCGGCCACAUUGGAACUGAGACACGGUCCAAACUCCUACGGGAGGCAGCAGUGGGGAAUAUUGCACAAUGGGCGAAAGCCUGAUGCAGCAACGCCGCGUGAACGAUGAAGGUCUUCGGAUCGUAAAGUUCUGUUGCAGGGGAAGAUAAUGACGGUACCCUGUGAGGAAGC
rnacentral:rRNA from 1 species